UACAGAGGGUGCAAGCGUUAAUCGGAAUUACUGGGCGUAAAGCGUGCGUAGACGGUUAUGUAAGUCAGAUGUGAAAGCCCCGGGCUUAACCUGGGAAUGGCAUUUGAGACUGCAUAGCUAGGGUGCGGAAGAGGGAAGCGGAAUUUCCGGUGUAGCGGUGAAAUGCGUAGAUAUCGGAAGGAACACCAGUGGCGAAAGCGGCUUCCUGGUCCAGCACCGACGUUCAGGUACGAAAGCGUGGGGAGCAAACAGG
rnacentral:rRNA from 1 species